rnacentral:rRNA from 1 species
UACAGAGGGUGCAAGCGUUGUUCGGAAUUACGUGGCGUAAAGCGCGUGUAGGUGGCGAUGAUAAGUACGGGUGUGAAAUCCCUCGGCUCAACCGAGGAAGUGCACUCGAUACUGUGUGCGCUUGAGUCGUUGGAGGGGAUGGCGGAAAUUCCCGGUGUAGGAGGUAGAAAUUCGUAGAUGACGGGAGGAACACCUGGUGGGCGA